AUUGAACGCUGGCGGCAUGCCUUACACAUGCAAGUCGAACGGCAGCACGGGGUAACCUGGUGGCGCGUGGCGAACGGGUGAGGAAUGCAUCGGAACGUACCUUCCAGUGGGGGAUAACGUAGCGAAAGUUACGACAAUACCGCAUAUUCUGUGAGCAGGAAAGCAGGGGAUCGCAAGACCUUGCGCUGAUUGAGCGGCCGAUGUCAGAUUAGCUAGUUGGUGAGGUAAAGGCUCACCAAGGCGACGAUCGGUAGCGGGUCUGAGAGGAUGAUCCGCCACACUGGAACUGAGACACGGUCCAGACUCCUACGGGAGGCAGCAGUGGGGAAUUUUGGACAAUGGGGGCAACCCUGAUCCAGCCAUGCCGCGUGAGUGAAGAAGGCCUUCGGGUUGUAAAGCUCUGUCGGCCGGGAAGAAAUCGCACGGGCUAAUACCCUGUGUGGAUGACGGUACCGGAAUAAGAAGCACCGGCUAACUACGUGCCAGCCGCCGCAGUAACAC
rnacentral:rRNA from 1 species